rnacentral:rRNA from 1 species
CUUAAAGGAAGUUGACGGGGGCCCGCACAAGCGGUGGAGCAUGUGGUUUAAUUCGAUGCUACACGAAGAACCUUACCAGGGUUUGACAUGCAAGUGGUAGGAAUCUGAAAAGGGACCGACCUUCGGGAGCUUGCACAGGUGCUGCAUGGCUGUCGUCAGCUCGUGUCGUGAGAUGUUCGGUUAAGUCCGCUAACGAGCGCAACCCUCACUGUGUGUUAUAUGUGUCACACGGGACUGCCGGUUUUAAGCCGGAGGAAGGUGGGGAUGACGUCAAGUCAGCAUGGCCUUUAUAUCCUGGGCUACACACACGCUACAAUGGUCGGUACAAUAGGUUGCCAAGCCGCGAGGCGGAGCCAAUCCACAAAGCCGGCCUCAGUUCAGAUUGUAGGCUGCAACUCGCCUGCAUGAAGAUGGAGUUGCUAGUAACCGCAGGUCAGCAAUACUGCGGUGAAUACGUUCCCGGGUCUU